rnacentral:rRNA from 1 species
GACGAAAGCUGGCGGCGUGCUUAACACAUGCAAGUCGAACGAAGUGGCGAACGGGUGAGUAACGCGAAAUCAACCUGCCCUUCAGAGGGGGACAACAGUUGGAAACGACUGCUAAUACCGCAUACUGAAGGCGGGGUUUGCGUCUGAUUAGCUAGUUGGAGGGGUAACGGCCCACCAAGGUGAUGAUCAGUAGCCGGUCGCAGAUAAUGAACGGCAACAUUGGGACUGUGAACCGUCCCAGACUUCUACGGGAGUCAGCAGUGGUGAUUCUUCCGCAAUGGACGAUAGUCUUACGUAGAUACGCCGCGUGGGUGAUGACGUCCUUCGUGUUUUAAAUCUCUUUUGAUCGGGACGCGGUACCGGAAUUGAAAGCCACGGCUAACUACGUGCCAGCCGCCGCGGUAAUAC